rnacentral:rRNA from 1 species
AUGGCGACGAGGGCUGCAAGCACCGGCAGGCUGCUCAGAGCGACCACCGUCAAGGAUAGCCGUAUGCCGUCGUCGUCGCCGGCGUGCCGCAUCCCCUCUCUCAAGUUCCCGUUCCUGUGGGACACCAAGGCGAGGCAUGGGAAGAUCAGGCGCGCCGCCGAGCAGAAGGCGGCGCUGAUCACCCUGGGAGCAGCCACCACCAGCACCACGGAGGAGAAGCAACGCCUGCCGGGGGAAGCGGGCAGCGUGGAUCUCCUGCUGCCUCUGGCGUACGAGGUCACCCGGAGGCUGGUGCUCAGGCAGUUCGGGGCGACGUGGCUGGCCCUCACGCAGCGUCGCUGGGCCAAGGUCGUCGAGGCCGUCGUCCACCAGGGCAUCGUCAGAUGCCAGUCGUUCACGCUCAUCGGCGUCGCAGGAUCCCUCCUCGGUUCAGUCCCAUGCUUCCUCGACGGUUGUGGCAUUGUUCUGCAGUCCUUCUCCUUGCAGUUCCGUGCCAUGUCGCAGACGAUAGAUCACGCCGAGAUCAUCAAACUUCUCAUCGAAGCAUUAGACAUGUUUCUGAUCGGCACCGCCCUGCUCACGUUCGGCAUGGGGAUGUACGGCAUGUUCUACGGCUCGCAGCGCGUCCAGGAGCCCAUCUACGAGAGGCUGAAGAAAGGGACGAGGAUCCGGUCCGUCAUGCAGGCCAAGUCGAGGUUCGGCCACGCCGUGAUCCUGCUGCUCCAGGCCGGCGUCCUCGAGAAGUUCAAGAGCGUGCCGCUCGUCACCGGCCUCGACAUGGCCUGCUUCGCCGGCGCGGUGCUUGCCUCCUCCGCCGGCGUCUUCCUGCUGUCCAAGCUCUCCGCGCAUCCGCAGCCAUGCAACAAGCAAACCUCCUUCGCGUGA